rnacentral:rRNA from 1 species
GACGAACGCUGGCGGCGUGCUUAACACAUGCAAGUCGAACGGAAAGGCCCUGCUUGCAGGGUACUCGAGUGGCGAACGGGUGAGUAACACGUGGGUGGUCUGCCCUGCACUUCGGGAUAAGCCUGGGAAACUGGGUCUAAUACCGGAUAGGAGCCAUUUUUAGUGUGAUGGUUGGAAAGUUUUUUCGGUGUAGGAUGAGCUCGCGGCCUAUCAGCUUGUUGGUGGGGUAAUGGCCUACCAAGGCGGCGACGGGUAGCCGGCCUGAGAGGGUGGACGGCCACAUUGGGACUGAGAUACGGCCCAGACUCCUACGGGAGGCAGCAGUGGGGAAUAUUGCACAAUGGGCGCAAGCCUGAUGCAGCGACGCCGCGUGGGGGAUGACGGCCUUCGGGUUGUAAACUCCUUUCGCUAGGGACGAAGCUUUUUGUGACGGUACCUAGAUAAGAAGCACCGGCUAACUACG